AAAGAAAAUUUAUUAAUGAACUCUAAUGCUAUCCAAAUUGUGCAACAAUGGUACAAACGAAAUAAGAGUAGAAGCUGUAAGUGGAUAGGGUAUGUAGCUCACAGGGGUUUGGGAGUGGAUUUUCUAGAGCUACAGCUGUCCAAUAUAUUAGUCAAUGGAAACCUGAAAAGUGGCUAGUCUGAACUGAGUUCUACCCUAACUGUAAAACAUGCACCAGAUUUCUAAAGCAUGGUCUGAAAAGAAAAAGAGUGUAAAAUAUUUCAUUAAUUUUAUACUGAUUACAUGUCAAAAGGAGAAUGUUUUGGAAAAUUUUAAAUUAGGUAUGUGGUUUCCAUUAUAUUUCUAAUAGAUACUGCAGUUCUAAGAGUAAGAAAAUCGCGUUGAAGAAGAGUACACCUUUCAUUUAGCAAUUGUGAAGAAAAGCAACCACGCUGUACCUCUCAGAUCAGAAGUCCAACAAUAAUCUCACCAACCUAAAAUCAAGUUGUCAGCAGGGCAACAGUCUUUUCUGGAGUGUGUAGGCUAGAAUCUGUUUUCUUGACUUUUCUCAUUUGGAAGACUGUCCACGUUCAUUGGCUCUUGGCCCCUUUCUUCAAUCUUCAAAGCCUGCAACGUUGUAUCUCUCUAAUCAUCAUAAUCACAUCUGAUUCUCUGACCACAACCAGGAACACUUCUCUGCUUUUAAAGGAUUCUUGUGAUAAAAUUGGACCCACCUGGAUAAACCAUGUCAGCAAGAACCUUAACUUAAUGACAUGUGCAAAGUACAUUUUCCUAUGUAAAUUAACUAAUUCACAAGUUCUGGGGAUUGGAGUAAGGACCUCUUUGGGGGACCAUUAUUCUGCCUACCACACUCUUGUACUGUAAAUGAGUCACUGCUGAAAGGUAAUAAGUUGACCCUUCUGAAAAUGAUGAUAAUAUUAGAGAUUGUUAACAGUAAUGUCGGUAUCAUUUGUGCCUCUAGUGGUUGUUGAGAACGAAGUUGCAUUAGCAGAGUGCUUAGGUACUGCAGGGCUCACUGAUUAUAUCUUUGACUCCUAAGAUUUUUAUUCUACUAAGGAGGGAAGAAUAAAUUCGUAUUUGUGGCAUAUCUGCUGUGUCCUAGGUAGUCUACAAUGAACUACAGACACAUUAAUCCCAUCUAAUUUCUACAGUAACUUUAUGAGGUGUGGUAGGAGGCCUUCUGAGAUGACCCAAUGAUCUCCAUCACAUAGCACUCACACCCUUGUAUGAUCUCCCUUCAUUGAAGCUAGGCUUGACUCAGGGACUCUUUCCAUGAACAGAGUAGGACAAUAGUGAUAGUGUAUCAUUUCUGAGACUGGGUUCCAGAAAACUAUGACAUUUCUCUUGCUUACACUGUCUCGCUCUUGCUCUCUUAUUUGCUUGCUUUGAUGAAGCAAGCUACAAUGUGGUAAACUGCCUUUGAAAGAGACCCACAUGUCAAGAAGCUGAGCACACCUGUGACCAACAGCCAGAAUGUAACUGAUAACGCCAAGAACAACAGCUUGUGCAAAAUAAAUUCUGCCUGCAACAAGAGCAUGAAUGGAGAAGCAGAUCCUUCCCCAGUUGAUCCUUGAAAUGCCUGCAGCUCUGUGGACACCUUGAUUGCAGCCUUGUGAUAAAUUCUGAAUCACAAGACCUUAUAUGCCUUACCCAUAGGACUCACAAGGUAAUAAAUGUUUUUCAAAGAA